rnacentral:misc_RNA from 1 species
AAGUCGUAACAAGGUUUCCGUAGGUGAACCUGCGGAAGGAUCAUUGACAAAUCUAAACAACUGUAGCUUGGAGUGAGAGUUCGCUUUCACUCCAAGCAUACACAACAUCCUAACCUGUGAAUCGGCAGUACGCAAGUGCUGUUUUAUGACUGCAAGUAGCGCGUAGCCUAACCGCUCAGCUUCUUCAGCCUUAACAUAUUUACGUAACCAAUUGUCUUACACACAAACCAUAACAAAGUAUAACUUUUAGCAAUGGAUCUCUUGGCUUCU